rnacentral:rRNA from 1 species
CAGCCGCCGCGGGAAUACGUAGGGUGCGAGCGUUAAUCGGAAUCACUGGGCGUAAAGCGCACGCAGGCGGUCUGUCAAGUCAGAUGUGAAAUCCCCGGGCUUAACCUGGGAACUGCAUUUGAAACUGGCAGGCUAGAGUCUUGUAGAGGGGGGUAGAAUUCCAGGUGUAGCGGUGAAAUGCGUAGAGAUCUGGAGGAAUACCGGUGGCGAAGGCGGCCCCCUGGACAAAGACUGACGCUCAGGUGCGAAAGCGUGGGGAGCAAACAGGAUUAGAUACCCGCGUAGUCCCUGUCUCUUAUAC